rnacentral:rRNA from 1 species
AUUGAACGCUGGCGGCAGGCCUAACACAUGCAAGUCGAACGGUAACAGGAAGAAGCUUGCUUCUUUGCUGACGAGUGGCGGACGGGUGAGUAAUGUCUGGGAAACUGCCUGAUGGAGGGGGAUAACUACUGGAAACGGUAGCUAAUACCGCAUAACGUCGCAAGACCAAAAAGGGGGACCUUCGGGCCUCUUGCCAUCGGAUGUGCCCAGAUGGGAUUAGCUAGUAGGUGGGGUAACGGCUCACCUAGGCGACGAUCCCUAGCUGGUCUGAGAGGAUGACCAGCCACACUGGAUCUGAGACACGGUCCAGACUCCUACGGGAGGCAGCAGUGGGGAAUAUUGCACAAUGGGCGCAAGCCUGAUGCAGCCAUGCCGCGUGUAUGAAGAAGGCCUUCGGGUUGUAAAGUACUUUCAGCGGGGAGGAAGGGAGUAAAGUUAAUACCUUUGCUCAUUGACGUUACCCGCAGAAGAAGCACCGGCUAACUCCGUG